UGGGGGAUAUUGCGCAAUGGGGGCAACCCUGACGCAGCAACGCCGCGUGAAGGAUGAAGGUUUUCGGAUUGUAAACUUCUUUUAUUAAGGACGAAAAUUGACGGUACUUAAUGAAUAAGCUCCGGCUAACUACGUGCCAGCAGCCGCGGUAAAACGUAGGUCACAAGCGUUGUCCGGAAUUACUGGGUGUAAAGGGAGCGCAGGCGGGACUGCAAGUUGGAUGUGAAAUCCAUGGGCUCAACCCAUGAACUGCUUUCAAAACUGUUUUUCUUGAGUAGUGCAGAGGUAGGCGGAAUUCCCGGUGUAGCGGUGGAAUGCGUAGAUAUCGGGAGGAACACCAGUGGCGAAGGCGGCCUACUGGGCACCAACUGACGCUGAGGCUCGAAAGUGUGGGUAGCAAACAGGAUUAGAUACCCUGGUAGUCCACACUGUAAACGAUGAUUACUAGGUGUUGGAGGAUUGACCCCUUCAGUGCCGCAGUUAACACAAUAAGUAAUCCACCUGGGGAGUACGACCGCAAGGUUGAAACUCAAAGGAAUUGACGGGGGCCCGCACAAGCAGUGGAGUAUGUGGUUUAAUUCGACGCAACGCGAAGAACCUUACCAGGUCUUGACAUCCUGCGACGGUGCUGGAAACAGAACUUUCCUUCGGGACGCAGAGACAGGUGGUGCAUGGUUGUCGUCAGCUCGUGUCGUGAGAUGUUGGGUUAAGUCCCGCAACGAGCGCAACCCUUAUGGUCAGUUACUACGCAAGAGGACUCUGGCCAGACUGCCGUUGACAAAACGGAGGAAGGUGGGGAUGACGUCAAAUCAUCAUGCCCUUUAUGACUUGGGCUACACACGUACUACAAUGGCGUUAAACAAAGAGAAGCAAGACCGCGAGGUGGAGCAAAACUCAGAAACAACGUCCCAGUUCGGACUGCAGGCUGCAACUCGCCUGCACGAAGUCGGAAUUGCUAGUAAUCGCAGAUCAGCAUGCUGCGGUGAAUACGUUCCC
rnacentral:rRNA from 1 species